rfam:Chelonia mydas contig144440, whole genome shotgun sequence.
GUAGUUGUGGCCAAGUGGGUAAGGUGAUAGACUAGAAAUCCAUUGGGGGUCUCCCAACACAGGUUUGAAUCCUGCCAACCAUG